GGUGAAAGUUUGUACAGUGGCAAUGAUACUUGUGCCAGUGACAGUUGGGGUGGGGGCUGUGACAAUAAGGUUGGUGGCAUUCACAGCUGAAGCAGUGGCAGUGACAGUUCAGGUAGUGGCAGUAACACUGGGGAUGGUGACGCUGACAGUUGGGGCAGUGACAGUUGUGGUGGUGGCAGUGACAGUUUAUAUCUUGGAGGGGGAAGAAAUGUCAGGCUGUAUACCUAGCAGAGAAGAGCCAAGAUACAGCUGCAACAAGACUGCUUAAUGAGAGCUGAUGUGUUAUAGCUGUCACUUUUGUAUAGGAAGCCAGAUGAUGCCAAUCAGGACUGUGUUUUUAUCUGAAAGUGGUCCCCCUGCUGAGAAACAAGGCACGGGGUCUUCCACUUCAUCUUUACAAUAUUUUAUGGAAGGGGAACAUUAAUUAUCGAUGCUCUUAAUUCAAUACCGAUGAACACCACAAGACCUGCAGGAUUGGAGGAGCAGGUUCCAGAUCUCUUUCGAGAAGCUUUUUCUCUACUUAUUUACGUAUUUAUUCAAUUCCUGAAGGGCUCGCGGUACUUCUACGUACACAACAACCUCUCAACACUCAACCUCUCAACACUAGACCACUUCUUA